CGUUGCACUCCACAAGGAGACUGCCUGUUACGCAAAUGCAAUAAGCCAAGUAAGUGUCAUGAGAAGCCAGAAAACUCACGAGGUUGAUGUGUUGCGGGCCCUCUGGAAAGUCCUGAAAUAUGCCUCUGAGCCGUGUUGGAGAAGGACGCAAAUUCAUCUGACCUGACCUCUGACCCAAAGUGCUCACUACUCCCCAACUCACAGCUGUCAUGGUGGCUAGUACCAGACUGUCUCUUCUUCUCCCAGA